AGGACGAACGCUUGCGGCGUGCCUAAGAAAUGCAAGUCGAGCGGGGGAAGCAAUUCCCUAGCGGCGAACGGUCGCGUAACACGUAGGCAACCUGCCCAAGAGACCGGGACAACACUUCGAAAGGGGUGCUAAUACCGGAUGCGGCUGCUUCCUCGCAUGGGGAAGCAACUAAAUCAUUUAUGGCUCUUGGAGGGGCCUGCGGCCUAUCAGCUAGAUGGUGGGGUAACGGCCUACCAUGGCGACGACGGGUAGCUGGUCUGAGAGGAUGGUCAGCCGGACUGGGACUGAGAUACGGCCCAGACUCCUACGGGGGGCAGCAAUUAGGAAUCUUGCGCAAUGGGGGCAACCCUGACGCAGCGACGCCGCGUGGAGGUAGAAGGCCCACGGGUCGUAAACUCCUUUUCUCAGAGAAGAAGCAAUGACGGUAUCUGAGGAAUAAGCAUCGGCUAACUCUGUGCCAGCAGCCGC
rnacentral:rRNA from 1 species